rnacentral:rRNA from 1 species
UACGUAGGGUGCAAGCGUUGUCCGGAAUUAUUGGGCGUAAAGAGCUCGUAGGCGGUCUGUCGCGUCGGAUGUGAAAAUCCAGGGCUCAACCCUGGACCUGCAUUCGAUACGGGCAGACUAGAGUUCGGUAGGGGAGACUGGAAUUCCUGGUGUAGCGGUGGAAUGCGCAGAUAUCAGGAGGAACACCGGUGGCGAAGGCGGGUCUCUGGGCGGUAACUGACGCUGAGGAGCGAAAGCGUGGGGAGCGAACAGG